AUUGAGCUUGAUUCUAGUCUGACUCUGUGAAGAGAUAUUGAAGGUGUAGCACAGGUGGGAGGCUCGCAAGGGCCGGCAGUGAAAUACCACUACUUUGAUCGUUCCUUUACUUAUUCGGUCAAGUUGAAGGAACGGUCGAUGCGAUGCCGUCUGACGACACGCGUCGACUGCCGCUUUUGGUGCCAAGUCCACAGGACGCGUGCCCGCGCUGACGGCGGUGACACGUGCGGCGCCAACGCACUUCCAUGUGCGUAGAGCUGUCCAGGACGAUCCGCUCCGAAGACAGUGUCAGGCGGGGAGUUUGACUGGGGCGGUACAUCUGUUAAAUGGUAACGCAGGUGUCCCAAGGUGAGCUCACCGAGGACAGAAACCUCGCCUAGAGUAAGCGGGAAAAAGCUCACUUGAUUUUUAUUUCCAGUACGAAUAGAGAUCGCGAAAGCGUGGCCUAUUGAUCCUCUUGAAUUUUAUAUCCUCAGCAAUGGGUUUUUGGAGGAAUCUGCCGU
rnacentral:ncRNA from 1 species